AUAAACUACAUUGAAAUUAUUACUAAAUUUAUACAAAAAUUAAUUUAUAAAAAUAGAGUAUAACAAAGAGGAAAAAGUCUUGACUUGUGUUAAAAAAAAAAAGAAAGAAGGAAAAGCCUUGACCAAUAGGAGAAACCAAUUCAUAGUCGUGAGGAUAACUAAAAUAUUAAUCUCCACCGUUGAUAGAUUUUAAUCUAAUGGAUAUUAUUCACGUAAUUUUCAUUUUCCCUUUCUCACGACCUUUACAAUCUUUUCUUUCCAUAGAUCUCAAACUAAACUUCUCCUUCUCACUACCGUCACUCGUCACCACCACAACCAUCGCUCAUCACCACCAUCGCCGUCCGACACCACCACCACAACGGGUUGGAGGAGGCAAUGCGUGCGACGGAGACCAGGCGAAGUGGUGGCCACUGGCCAUGGUGGUGCGGCGGAGACCAAGCGAAGUGGUGGAACAGAGAGAAGAUACAGAGCUCGGAGAUGCAGAGAACGAAGUGGUGGUCUCUAGCUCGUUCCCGUCUUCACCAGCAGCACCACCACCACCACCGACGCGCUCGUCAUCACCACUACGGUGGUGAAAGAAGACCUUGACGGGAUAGUGGUUGAAGACCUUGACGGUGGAAGAAGAAGAGGAAGCUAUGGCGGCUGUAUUUUUUUUUUAGGUUUAGGUUUGGUUUAGUGUAAACCAGGAAAAUUGUGGUUGUUUUACUUUAAUUUUUAAUUUAUGGUUUAAUUUUGUAAACCAGAAUUUAUUUGUAAACUAAAUUUAAUUCAUAAAUAAAAUUUAUUUUAUUUCUAA